AACGAACGCUGGCGGCAGGCCUAACACAUGCAAGUCGAACGCUGUAGCAAUACAGAGUGGCAGACGGGUGAGUAACGCGUGGGAACCUUCCCAGUGGUGCGGAAUAGCUCAGGGAAACUUGAGGUAAUACCGCAUAAGCCCCUAGGGGAAAGAUUAUCGCCAUUGGAUGGGCCCGCGUCGGAUUAGCUAGUUGGUGAGGUAAUGGCUCACCAAGGCAACGACCGUAGCUGGUUUGAGAGAAUGACCAGCCACACUGGGACUGAGACACGGCCCAGACUCCUACGGGAGGCAGCAGUGGGGAAUCUUGGACAAUGGGCGCAAGCCUGAUCCAGCCAUGCCGCGUGAGUGACGAAGGCC
rnacentral:rRNA from 1 species